GAUGAACGCUGGCGGCGUGCCUAAUACAUGCAAGUCGAGCGAACAGACGAGGAGCUUGCUCCUCUUACGUUAUCGUCGGACGGGUGAGUAACACGUGGCUAACCUACCUAUAAGACUGGGCUAACUUCUGGAAACCGGAGCUAAUACCUGAUACUAUAUUGAACCGCAUGGUUCAAUAUUGAAAGACGGUUUUGCUUUCACUUAUAGAUGGAUCCGCGCCGCAUUAGCUAGUUGGUAAGGUAACGGCUUACCAAGGCAACGAUGCGUAGCCGACCUGAGAGGGUGAUCGGCCACACUGGAACUGAGACACGGUCCAGACUCAUACGGGAGGCAGAAGUAGGGAAGCUUCAGAAAUGGGAGAAAGCUGGACGGAGAAACGCCGCGGGAGUGAUGAAGGUCUUCGGAUCGGAAAACUCUGUUAUUAGGGAAGAACAAAUGGGUAAGUAACUAUGCACGUCUUGACGGUACCUAAUCAGAAAGCCACGGCUAACUACGUG
rnacentral:rRNA from 1 species